rnacentral:rRNA from 1 species
UUGAACGCUGGCGGCGUGCUUUACACAUGCAAGUCGAACGGCAGCACAGGUAGCAAUACUGGGUGGCGAGCGGCGGACGGGUGAGUAACACGUGGGUAACCUGCCUCGUAGUGGGGAAUAACUCGCCGAAAGGCGAGCUAAUACCGCAUAUUACUUCCGGUGAGAAUCCGGAAAGUAAAAGCUUCGGCGCUACGAGAGGGGCCCGCGGCCGAUUAGCUUGUUGGUGGGGUAACGGCCUACCAAGGCGACGAUCGGUAGCUGGUCUGAGAGGAUGGUCAGCCACACGGGGACUGAGAUACGGCCCCGACUCCUACGGGAGGCAGCAGCUAAGAAUCUUGCGCAAUGGGCGAAAGCCUGACGCAGCAACGCCGCGUGGAGGACGAAGGCCCUCGGGUUGUAAACUCCUUUUGCGAGGGAAGAAGUUCUGACGGUACCUCGCGAAUAAGCCACGGCUAACUACGU